rnacentral:rRNA from 1 species
UAAUCGGUGUAAUGAUAGCGGCGAACGGGUGAGUAACACGUUGGAACCUGCCCCCAAGUCAGGGAUAGCCAAGGGAAACCUUGGAUAAUACCGGAUAGUCUCUUAGGAGUAAAAAUUUAUUGCUUGGGGAGGGGCCUGCGGACUAUCAGCUAGUUGGUAAGGUAAGAGCUUACCAAGGCUAUGACGGAUAACUGGUCUGAGAGGAUGAUCAGUCACAAUGGAACUGAGACACGGUCCAU